AUUGAACGCUGGCGGCAGGCCUAACACAUGCAAGUCGAACGAGUGGCGGACGGGUGAGUAAUGUCUGGGAAACUGCCUGAUGGAGGGGGAUAACUACUGGAAACGGUAGCUAAUACCGCAUACCAUCAGAUGUGCCCAGAUGGGAUUAGCUUGUUGGUGGGGUAACGGCUCACCAAGGCGACGAUCCUUAGCUGGUCUGAGAGGAUGACAUGCCACACGGGAACGGGGACACGGCCCGGAUUCCUACGGGAGGCAGCAGUGGGGAAUAUUGCACAAUGGGCGCAAGCCUGAGGCAGCCAGGCCGCGGGGAUGAAGAAGGCCUUCGGGUUUUAAAGUACUUUCAGCGGGGAGGCGUUACCCGAAGAAGAAGCACCGGCUAACUCCGUGCCAGCAGCCGCGGUAAUAC
rnacentral:rRNA from 1 species